CUCCUUCCUGCAAACUGCGCAUGCACAAGACUUUUGUACCCAGGUUCCCUUCGACCAUUUUCGGAAAACACGACGGACGCCAUCUUUCACCACAGAGAAAUUACUUUUUGUUUGUGUGAAUAUGAUGUCAAUAUACACGAAAGUUAAGAGCUAUGCGCUCCGCACCGGACCAUACCUGUACGAUAUGAGGUUUCUACUUGCCGGUUUCGCGAUCACAUAUCUUGGAGUAUCCAAGAUUGCUGCGGCUGGUGCUAAGAAGCCAGUUACUGGGAAAGGAGGUAUGAAAUCUUUCACUUAUUCAUAUCGUUUCUGUAAAUUUCUUAUUUUGUUUGCUUUAUCAAAUGA